GGUCUUGAUGCCAACACACCUCCCUUCUUAUUAUAAAGAGAAAGAAAGAAAAGGGAGGAGGAAGCCGAUGGUGAAAAGGGAACAAGGAUUCAUUGAUGUAGAAAUAACACUAUUCUUGGAGGAACAGGAAAAGGCUACCUUCUUUAGCUCUCAGGACAUCCAGCCUCUGUCAGUUCUGAAGCACCAUGGUUACCAAAGAAUCAAUCUGAUUCUGAAUAGACAGCCAGACUGGAUCUCCUGACUGCUUGUUUAUGCUGUGCUGGGGGUUGCCUGAGGUCAGCACACAAGCACAUGCUACCAGCUGCAACCCAAACCAGGGACACAGAGGAUCAUGCUGGUCCUUCUACACUCAGUCCCUUCCUGUGAAUAAAGAAUUGUGGAGAUAAAGG